AGUGAACGCUGGCGGUAGGCCUAACACAUGCAAGUCGAACGGCAGCACAGUAAGAGCUUGCUCUUACGGGUGGCGAGUGGCGGACGGGUGAGGAAUACAUCGGAAUCUACUUUUUCGUGGGGGAUAACGUAGGGAAACUUACGCUAAUACCGCAUACGACCUACGGGUGAAAGCAGGGGAUCUUCGGACCUUGCGCGAUUGAAUGAGCCGAUGUCGGAUUAGCUAGUUGGCGGGGUAAAGGCCCACCAAGGCGACGAUCCGUAGCUGGUCUGAGAGGAUGAGCAGCCACACUGGAACUGAGACACGGUCCAGACUCCUACGGGAGGCAGCAGUGGGGAAUAUUGGACAAUGGGCGAAAGCCUGAUCCAGCCAUACCGCGUGGGUGAAGAAGGCCUUCGGGUUGUAAGGCCCUUUUGUUGGGAAAGAAAAGCAGCAGGUUAAUACCCCGCUGUUCUGACGGUACCCAAAGAAUAAGCACCGGCUAACUUCGUG
rnacentral:rRNA from 1 species